rnacentral:rRNA from 1 species
AAAAACAUGGCCUUUUGAUUUUAAUUUAAGGUCUAACCUGCUCAAUGAAUUUUAAAUAGCCGCAGUAUCCUAACUGUGCAAAGGUAGCAUAAUCAUUAGUUUCUUAAUUAGAAGCUGGAAUGAAGGGUUGAAUGAGAAAAUAGCUGUCUCUAUAAAAAUUUUAUAGAAUUUUAUUUUUAAGUAAAAAAGCUUAAAUUUAAGUAAAAGACGAGAAGACCCUAUAGAGUUUUAUAUUUAAAGACAAUAUUUUUUUUAGUAUUUUAAAAUCUAUUUUCUUAUAAUAUUUAGUUGGGGUGAUUAGAAAAUUUAAUAAACUUUUCUUUAAUAUAAACAUUUAUUUAUGAAAAUAUGAUCCUUUUUUUAAGAUUAAAAGAGUAAAUUACCUUAGGGAUAACAGCGUAAUUUUUUUUGAGAGUUCUUAUCGAAAAAAAAGAUUGCGACCUCGAUGUUGGAUUAAAAUAAAUUUUUGGUGUAGAAGCUAAAUUGAUUAGGUCUGUUCGACCUUUAAAAUUUUACUUGAUCUGAGUU